UUGAGCCCAAACCCUAACCCUAGUCUUGGCCCCACUCUACCACAUUACCGGCAGGCAGCUCCAUCCCCACAUAUGUCAGCUACUGCCUUGCUGCAAAAAGCAGCUCAGAUGGGUGCAACCAUGAGCAGCAAAACUACAAGCUUGAUGAGACCCCACCAUCACCAGCAGCAGCCGCAACACCACCACCAAGAAGGAGCUCAUGUGUCUUCCCAUUCUGGUAACAACAAUGCAAAUACAACUGGUUUUGGUCUGAAUUUUUCCUCACCUGAAGAGCAGCUGCCAGGUGGUGGGUCAAUUUUUCAUGGCCUGCAGGCUCCUUUUAGGAAUAAAGCUGUUCCUUCUGGUACUACUAAAGUUGGUACUAGUGGUUCACCACCCUCAGGUGCCCUUCUUCAAGAAAUGAUGAAUUCUCUUUCUUCUGCUUCUGGGUUUGAAGGGAGUAACUCCUUUGAAGAUGCAUUUGUUGGCGGGAUUUUGAAUACCAAGAAAAGUGAUGAUAAUGCUGGUGGUGGCGGUGGUGGCUCCGGCUGCCG
rnacentral:misc_RNA from 1 species